rnacentral:rRNA from 1 species
AGGAUUAACGCUGGCGGCGUGCAUGAGACAUGCAAGUCGAACGGACGAUCAGGGCUUGCUCUGAUCGUUAGUGGCGGACGGCUGAGUAACGCGUAGGUGACCUGCCCCGAAGUGGGGGAUAACUGCCCGAAAGGGUGGCUAAUACCGCAUGUGGAGGUUUGUUCAUUCGAACCUUCAAAGCAGUAAUGCGCUUCGGGAGGGGCCUGCGUCCGAUUAGCUCGUUGGUGGGGUAACGGCUCACCAAGGCGACGAUCGGUAGGUGGUCUGAGAGGACGAUCACCCAGACUGGGACUGAGACACGGCCCAGACUCCUACGGGAGGCAGCAGUCGGGAAUUUUGCUCAAUGGGGGAAACCCUGAAGCAGCAACGCCGCGUGAGGGAUGAAGGCCUUCGGGUUGUAAACCUCUUUUCUCAGGGAAGAUAAUGACGGUACCUGAGGAAUAAGCCACGGCUAACUACGUGCCAGCAGCCGC